GAUGAAGAACGCAGCGAAAUGCGAUACGUAAUGUGAAUUGCAAAUUCAGUGAAUCAUCGAGUCUUUGAACGCACAUUGCGCCCCCUGGUAUUCCGGGGGGCAUGCCUGUCCGAGCGUCAUUGCUGCCCUCAAGCACGGCUUGUGUGUUGGGCCCCGUCCUCCGAUCCCGGGGGACGGGCCCGAAAGGCAGCGGCGGCACCGCGUCCGGUCCUCGAGCGUAUGGGGCUUUGUCACCCGCUCUGUAUGCCCGGCCGGCGCUUGCCGAUCAACCCAAAUUUUUAUCCAGGUUGACCUCGGAUCAGGUAGGGAUACCCGCUGAACUUAAGCAUAUCAAUAAGCGGAGGA
rnacentral:misc_RNA from 1 species